GGGGGUUCUUCCAUUCUUCACACCUCAGUUUUCAGCUUAUUGGAAGAAAGAAAAAGUGCAGCGGAGCCGAGUCGUCUUCCCUGGCAGAACCGCGAGUCUUCUUCACCCGAGCAGAGGAGACGCUUUCUUUUCUCCAGCAGCGAGAGACUCCUGCAGAGCCGUGAGGUUUUUUCAUUACCAGCCGUGAGAGUCUUCCCAGCCGAGGGUUUCUUCAGCCGCGCGGGAGAGCGAGGGUCGCGAGAGAGAAGGAGACGGCAGGAGGGCGUUCGGCGUUGGGGGGAUCUCCAAUCUCCAACGGAGGUUCGCACAAGGGUAAGGCAAGGUGAAGUGCGACAGAGAAACAAACUUGGAGUCUGAAACUGAACUGGGUAACGAAGAGUAAGGGAUGUGGGUGGCCAUGAGAGGAUCGGAUUGAAAUUCAAAACUGGAGAUGGCAUUAAUGGCGUACCGAAGGGGAGCGGUUGAAAAUAACGGAAAGAAGAUAAUGCCCACUUUGAAUCUUUACACCAACAUCCUAGUAGACGCUCUGGUUGCCUCCGACAUUCUCAAAGAUGCCUCCAAAGUUGCUGCCAAGAUUAUUGAUAAACCAGAAUUUGUAAAGUACCCAUUUACCCACCACCUCCUAAUUCGUAAUCUUCAUGCACUUGUUUUUGUGCUGUUGGUUUCCUUCUAUUUCUUGUUGUUAGCUCUUUUCUUUUUCACAUAACAGCGAUACAUUGACUGGCAACUGUUCGACGAAAUUACUCUUCCAACCUGAAACUCUUCUGCUGAUACUUCAUUUGCCCACUUCAAGUUCUGCUGCUGUCUUACUUUUCUUGUUGACAUUUCACCUGGGGCAAAAUUUGUUUUUAAACUCUGACAGAGGAUAGGGCCAUGAAUGCCAUCUUUGCAUUCUUACCUUGAACUAUUUCCUUACAAUGAUUCAUAUGACAAUGAAUUUUAAGAAUUCUUUUCUAUUCCAAUUACAUGACAAAAUAUAAUUUAUUUGCUAUUCCAAACUUCAAUUAAUUAAUUAAUUCGGUUAAAUUCGGUUAACCGAAUUACCCGAAAAGAUAAUUCGGUCGGGUUCGGUUCGGUGAGGCCCAGCGGUUCGGUCGGUUCGGUUAACAACAUUCAUUAACCGAAAAUUUCGGUUAAUUCGGUUAAUUAACCAAAUUUGGCCGAACCGACCGUUUGCUCACCCCUAAUCUCAGAAGCCCAACAUGUUGUCUUCUAAAAUUUUCUUUCUUAAGUUGCAACUAACAACAGCAUUAUGGAAAGAACUUAAAAUGUUUGCAAAUAGAAGUAAACAUAAAGACAGGAACAAAUUAAAUUAUGAAAACGAAUGUUAAAUAUCUGAUAAAAUUCAAAUAUGGAUUUAAGUUCAAUCACUAAAUACCGUAAGUAUGAUUUCUAAUACUAAAGCUUUGAAGAUUUACUCUUGUUUAUUCAUAGAAUCAAAGAGAAAUAAUUUAAAUCGAGUCGUCGGGCCCUUUUAUAAUAUAAAGGGGUCUGAAUAGAUAACUUGAGUGUGCUAUAAAAAUCUUCUUGGUCCAAUUUGCUCAACUUCAUCAUUGGAGAAUAUAUAGUGCUGAAAUGAAUUCUCCUGUCCUAAUUAAGUUUAAUAAAUUGUUUUGAAAAAUAUAUAUAUUUUACCUCUAGGGUUUCACAAAAAUGUUAACCUUCAACACAUUGAAUUCCUUUACCUGUUUAUUAAAUAUCUUGAUUAUCAGAAGGAAACUGAAUUCAACACAAGAAAAUCAAAAAGCAAAAGAAAAAUCACAAGGCUGGCCCCUGCUAAGGGAGGAGAAGACGGGGCAGAGUUGACAAGCAGAGAGUCACACAAUCGGUCCAACAGGUAUACGCCACCAUUCGAUCAUCCCUACGGCUAUAAUGCUUCUCAUUUCUCCGUCUAUUUGCAAACAUUCAUACAAUCACUGCACGAACGGCACGAACAUUGACAAAUGAAUUCACCGUUCACGUUCACUCAUAUCAUAUGAACACAAGCAAUGACAAACACCUUCACAUGAACACAAACUUAACAACACACAAACAGAAAACAAACCGAGGUCCUCAAUCAAACACACAAAACUCCAUCAAACAUCGAACCUUCACGUUAUAGAAACCCCCCAUUACCAGCUCAAUGUUCAUCAUUCUCCACCAUUUCAACCCAAAGGUCCUCAAUCACUCCAAAUCCCUACGACUAAGCCGACCAUCAGAAAAUUCCCCAGACGAAAAGAACACGAAAACAGAGAACACACCGAGGUCUCACCUGUAACCGCACCCCUCACUCACCGAAAAUUGCUCUGGCGAAAACCAAUCGCCGAAGCCCCACCGUCGCAAGGCCACUGUUAGUACCGUACGACCUUAUCCUCUGCUUUCGAAACUCCUACGAAUGCCGAAUUGAACCCCCCGCGUCUGGCAAUCACAGUUCCGGACUCAUUGAGCCCAGAAUUCUGCGAACCCUAGAGAGCACAAGACGAAGCGUAGAGGAAGAGACCGAGAGAGGAGAAGGAC